rnacentral:rRNA from 1 species
AACGAACGCUGGCGGCAGGCCUGACACAUGCAAGUCGAGCGCCCGGAUUUAUCCGGGAGCGGCGCACGGGUGAGUAACGCGUGGGAACAUGCCCUGAAGUACGGAACAACCUGGGGAAACCUUGGCUAAUACCGUAUACGCCCUGUGGGGGAAAGAUUUAUCGCUUUGGGAUUGGCCCGCGUUGGAUUAGCUGGUUGGUGUGGUAACGGCGCACCAAGGCGACGAUCCAUAACUGGUCUGAGAGGAUGACCAGUCACACUGGGACUGAGACACGGCCCAGACUCCUACGGGAGGCAGCAGUGGGGAAUAUUGGACAAUGGGCGAAAGCCUGAUCCAGCCAUGCCGCGUGAGUGAAGAAGGCUUUCGGGUUGUAAAGCUCUUUCAGCGGGGACGAUGAUGACGGUACCCGCAGAAGAAGCCCCGGCUAACUUCGUGCCAGCAGCCGCCCGUAA